CUUUCCUCCUCCUCCUCUUCUUUUUUUCUUCCAUCACAGCCGUGGCAGCCACCCCUCUCCUCCUCUUCUUCUUCUCCCGUUCGGAUCCUCUCCCUUAUCCAACCCUAACUCCAACGGAUCUGUUGCCGCCGUGAUGCCGUCAACCGCAUCAUCGCCACUCUUCUAGGGGGCGACGAUCUCCUUCAAGACCUUGUUCCAUGGCGGUUCCUGUAGUUGUUCCCAUCGAUGGCGAAGUGGAAUCAUCGUGGUAAUCUCUAAGAUUAGGUCCCCACGGUAGAUCUUAUCCUCAUUCUUUGGGAUUUCUCCUCGUUUUCUUCGUCGUCUUCUUCUUCUUCUUCUCUGUUUCUGGGUUUGGCGGUAGUUUGCCUUUUUCUUGGUUGCAUCUUCAUUUGAGUGCUCUCCUCGGGAACGCUGGGUUGCUUCCUUGGAUUGGACUUGCUAUCCGAGGAAUCAGGAGCUUUUGCAUUAUUUGCUGUUAUUCCAGAGGUUACAGUAGGAUCAUUUUUCUGUCUGAAAAAUGGAUGCAAGACACUCAACCGAAAUGUUCAAGUAAAUUUUUCGCAUGCAACUCUUCUUUGAACAUUUGUAGUACCAUUAUAUAUGUUUAUGUCAUCCUUUGAUAUGCAGACAUCUGGAGAAGCAAAGUGAAGUCCUUAUGGAAGCUUAUCGUGCAAUGUCCCAUGAGCUACAUAGACUUCAGGUUGAAGAAGAAAUGCUUAUGCACAAACUGUACGAAGUCAUGUCUGCUGAA